ACGGGUGAGUAACACGUGGGUGAUCUGCCUUGCACUUCGGGAUAAGCUUGGGAAACUGGGUCUAAUACCGGAUAGGACAGCUGUUUAGUGUCAGUUGUGGAAAGUUUUUUCGGUGCAAGAUGAGCUCGCGGCCUAUCAGCUUGUUGGUGGGGUAAUGGCCUACCAAGGCGUCGACGGGUAGCCGGCCUGAGAGGGUGUACGGCCACAUUGGGACUGAGAUACGGCCCAGACUCCUACGGGAGGCAGCAGUGGGGAAUAUUGCACAAUGGGCGGAAGCCUGAUGCAGCGACGCCGCGUGGGGGAUGAAGGCCUUCGGGUUGUAAACUCCUUUCGACAGGGACGAAGCGUAAGUGACGGUACCUGUAUAAGAAGCACCGGCUAACUACGUGCCAGCAGCCGCGGUAAUACGUAGGGUGCGAGCGUUGUCCGGAAUUACUGGGCGUAAAGAGCUCGUAGGUGGUUUGUCGCGUCGUCUGUGAAAUUCCGGGGCUUAACUCCGGGCGUGCAGGCGAUACGGGCUGACUUGAGUGCUGUAGGGGAGACUGGAAUUCCUGGUGUAGCGGUGAAAUGCGCAGAUAUCAGGAGGAACACCGAUGGCGAAGGCAGGUCUCUGGGCAGUAACUGACGCUGAGGAGCGAAAGCAUGGGUAGCGAACAGGAUUAGAUACCCUGGUAGUCCAUGCCGUAAACGGUGGGCGCUAGGUGUAGGGGGCUUCCACGUCUUCUGUGCCGUAGCUAACGCAUUAAGCGCCCCGCCUGGGGAGUACGCCGACAAGGCUA
rnacentral:rRNA from 1 species